GACGAACGCUGUCGGCGUGCUUAACACAUGCAAGUCGAACGGAAAGGCCCUGCUUUUGUGGGGUGCUCGAGUGGCGAACGGGUGAGUAACACGUGAGUAACCUGCCCUUGACUUUGGGAUAACUUCAGGAAACUGGGGCUAAUACCGGAUAGGAGCUCCUGCUGCAUGGUGGGGGUUGGAAAGUUUCGGCGGUUGGGGAUGGACUCGCGGCUUAUCAGCUUGUUGGUGGGGUAGUGGCUUACCAAGGCUUUGACGGGUAGCCGGCCUGAGAGGGUGACCGGCCACAUUGGGACUGAGAUGCGGCCCAGACUCCUACGGGAGGCAGCAGUGGGGAAUAUUGCACAAUGGGCGGAAGCCUGAUGCAGCAACGCCGCGUGCGGGAUGACGGCCUUCGGGUUGUAAACCGCUUUCGCCUGUGACGAAGCGUGAGUGACGGUAAUGGGUAAAGAAGCACCGGCUAACUACGUG
rnacentral:rRNA from 1 species